rnacentral:rRNA from 1 species
GAUGAACGCUAGCGACAGGCCUAACACAUGCAAGUCGAGGGGCAGCACAUGAGUAGCAAUACGAUGGUGGCGACCGGCGCACGGGUGAGUAACACGUAUGCAACCUGCCUGUAAGAGGGGGAUAACCCGGAGAAAUUCGGACUAAUACCGCAUAAUACCACGAGACUGCAUGGUUUUGUGGUUAAACAUUUAUGGCUUACAGAUGGGCAUGCGUAUGAUUAGAUAGUUGGUAGGGUAACGGCCUACCAAGUCUACGAUCAUUAGGGGUUCUGAGAGGAAGGUCCCCCACACUGGUACUGAGACACGGACCAGACUCCUACGGGAGGCAGCAGUGAGGAAUAUUGGUCAAUGGGCGAGAGCCUGAACCAGCCAAGUCGCGUGAAGGAAGAAGGUUCUAUGGAUUGUAAACUUCUUUUGCAGGGGAAUAAAGGACGGUACGUGUACUGUUUUGUAUGUACUCUGCGAAUAAGGAUCGGCUAACUCCGUGCCAGC